AGCAAACCUACUGUUGAUUGUACCUUAACUUACAUUCCAGCUCCGACUUCGGAAAGGUUUUAUGAUGUUACCUCGCCUAACAAAUGAAGGAACUCUCCUCUGCUGAUUCUGGUGAUCUCUCAGUCCAAGGGAACCGUGGUGAAGCAAUAAAUGAAAGUCCCACAGGCUUUGGCUAGCAGGCCUGGAUAUACCUUGGACUUUUGGGUGACCCUUGGAUCAAAAGAGGGGAUUGUGAUAGAAUUUAUCUUGAUUCCAAGGCUCAAGCUUAUAAGUGUC